CGCACAUUGCGCCCCGUGGUAUUCCGCGGGGCAUGCCUGUUCGAGCGUCAUUUCACCACUCAAGCCUCGCUUGGUAUUGGGCGUCGCGGUCCGCCGCGUGCCUCAAAUCGACCGGCUGGGUCGAUCGCACCCUCAGCGUUGUGGCAACAUCAUUCGCUAAAGGGACCGCGGUCGGUCACGCCGUGAAACAAACCAAUUUUUCAAUGGUUGACCUCGGAUCAGGUAGGGAUACCCGCUGAACUUAA
rnacentral:misc_RNA from 1 species